rnacentral:lncRNA from 12 species
AAAAGCUAUGUACAAAAGAGACAAAGAAUAGUCCUCAGCUGCGUGACCAUAUCCUCAGACAAUUCAUUAUCAUCACACAUGAAGGGAAUAACACAUUUUGGGUGGACAUUAGGAAUGUGCUAUAUAAAAUUAGAAAAAUUUGAGUAAUAUAAUAUUGAUUUUCUUUCUUACAUAAACAUUUGAAAAGCAAUUAUAAUUCUUUCUGUCUACAGGUUCAGUUGGACAUUUUAUUCAUUUCUAAUCCUCUAGACUUCCUUCAUGACAUCAAGGAUAUUGUAAUAAUUUUCUAACCUACAUGACUCCUUACGGCUAGGUUAGAAUGAUUACAUUCCAAGUACUUCUAGAAACACAAGGGCGCUCAGGGAGGAAUCAGAAGGAACUGACACCAAACCUGCCAUUUAAGGGAUCAUCUGCAGAGAAAAGAACACUGGCCACCAGGAAUGAAUUUGGGGAAGCUUGUUAUAGAGGCGGCAUUCUAAAGAUAGAGUCUUCAAGGAAACCAGUCUUCACCACCUUGACUCUGAUGACCUCCCAAUUCAAAGACAAUGUCCUCUCUGCUGAAUUUGCC